UACGGAGGGUGCAAACGUUGCUCGGAAUUAUUGGGCGUAAAGCGCACGUAGGCGGCUUGUUAAGUCGGAUGUGAAAGCCCUCGGCUCAACUGAGGAAGUGCAUUCGAAACUGGCGAGCUUGAAUAUGGAAGAGGGUCGCGGAAUUCCCGGUGUAGAGGUGAAAUUCGUAGAUAUCGGGAGGAACACCAGUGGCGAAGGCGGCGACCUGGGCCAAUAUUGACGCUGAGGUGCGAAAGCGUGGGGAGCAAACAGG
rnacentral:rRNA from 1 species